AUUGAACGCUGGCGGCAGGCCUAACACAUGCAAGUCGAACGGUAACAGGAAGAAGCUUGCUUCUUUGCUGACGAGUGGCGGACGGGUGAGUAAUGUCUGGGAAACUGCCUGAUGGAGGGGGAUAACUACUGGAAGCGGUAGCUAAUACCGCAUAACGUCGCAAGACCAAAGAGGGGGACCUUCGGGCCUCUUGCCAUCGGAUGUGCCCAGAUGGGAUUAGCUAGUAGGUGGGGUAACGGCUCACCUAGGCGACGAUCCCUAGCUGGUCUGAGAGGAUGACCAGCCACACUGGAACUGAGACACGGUCCAGACUCCUACGGGAGGCAGCAGUGGGGAAUAUUGCACAAUGGGCGCAAGCCUGAUGCAGCCAUGCCGCGUGUAUGAAGAAGGCCUUCGGGUUGUAAAGUACUUUCAGCGGGGAGGAAGGGAGUAAAGUUAAUACCCUUGCUCAUUGACGUUACCCGCAGAAGAAGCACCGGCUAACUCCGUG
rnacentral:rRNA from 1 species